GAUGAACGCUGGCGGCAUGCCUAACACAUGCAAGUCGAUCGGUAAGGCUCUUCGGAGUACACGAGAGGCGGACGGCUGAGUAACGCGUAGGAACACACCCUGCAGUUAGGGAUAAGACACCGAAAGGUGUUCUAAUACCGCAUACGGGCUUCGGAUUAAAGCAUUUAUGCGCUGAAGGAGUGGCCUGCGUCAUAUUAGAUAGUUGGUGAGGUAAUGGCUCACCAAGUCGAUGAUGUGUAGCUGGUCUGAGAGGAUGAUCAGCAAGACUGGAAUUGAGACACGGCCCAGACUCUUACGGGAGGAAGCAGUGAGGAAAAUUUCAAAUGAAGCGAAAGCUUGAUGGGCCAAGGCCGGGGGAAGGAUGAAGGCCUUGGGGUUGUAACUUGCUUUUAAAAGAGAAGAUUAGGCCGGAACCUUAGGAAGAAGGGCCGGUUACUACGUG
rnacentral:rRNA from 1 species